rnacentral:rRNA from 1 species
UACAGAGGGUGCAAGCGUUGUUCGGAAUCAUUGGGCGUAAAGGGCGUGUAGGCGGUUUGCUAAGUCAUGUGUGAAAGCCCUCGGCUUAACCGAGGAACGACGCAUGAAACUGGCAAGCUAGAGUACCAAAGAGGGGGGUGGAAUUCCCGGUGUAGCGUUGAAAUGCGUAGAUAUCGGGAGGAACACCAGUGGCGAAGGCGACUACCUGGCCCACUCUUGACGCUGAGGCGCGAAAGCUAGGGGAGCAAACGGG